GGUCUCGUAGCUCAGUUGGAUAGAGCACGUCCCUUCUAAGGAUGUGGUCGUAGGUUCGAAUCCUACCGAGAUCACCA
rnacentral:tRNA from 1 species